rnacentral:rRNA from 1 species
CCUACGGGAGGCAGCAGUGGGGAAUUUUGGACAAUGGGCGCAAGCCUGAUCCAGCCAUGCCGCGUGCGGGAAGAAGGCCUUCGGGUUGUAAACCGCUUUUGUCAGGGAAGAAAAGUUCCGGGUUAAUACCCUGGGAUGCUGACGGUACCUGAAGAAUAAGCACCGGCUAACUACGUGCCAGCAGCCGCGGUAAUACGUAGGGUGCGAGCGUUAAUCGGAAUUACUGGGCGUAAAGCGUGCGCAGGCGGUUGUGCAAGACAGAUGUGAAAUCCCCGGGCUCAACCUGGGAACUGCAUUUGUGACUGCACGACUGGAGUGCGGCAGAGGGGGAUGGAAUUCCGCGUGUAGCAGUGAAAUGCGUAGAUAUGCGGAGGAACACCGAUGGCGAAGGCAAUCCCCUGGGCCUGCACUGACGCUCAUGCACGAAAGCGUGGGGAGCAAACAGGAUUAGAUACCCUGGUAGUCCACGCCCUAAACGAUGUCAACCUGGUUGUUGGGAGGGUUUCUUCUCAGUAACGUAGCUAACGCGUGAAGUUGACCGCCUGGGGAGUACGGCCCAAGGUUGAAACUCAAAGGAAUUGACGG